rnacentral:snRNA from 1 species
AGCUUUGUACACUGACAGUAUAGUAGCCAAUGAGGUUUACCCAAGGCACAAUUACAGCGAAUUGAAAACUAAUACAUUGAUACAGC